rnacentral:lncRNA from 1 species
GUAGGUCUAUCUCUAAUCCUAGAGCUACUGCCAAUUUUCUGUAGCUAGCUUGAGUUGGUAUUAGCCAUUUAAACUUUGAAAAUGGCUAUGUGGAUACUUCCUACAUCCUUUUUCAUGAGAUGAUGAAUAGUUAUCACAAGAUAUUUGAGAAAAUUUUUAAGGAGCCAUUCAGUUAUUUAAAAACAAACUGAAGUCAAUCACCAUUAUUACAAAGUUGUAUGAUAUACAUGUAUAAUCCUAGAAACUUAAACGUGUUCAAGAGUGUUGAGUUCUGAGCCAUCAUCAUUUUGAUUUGGUCCUUUCUGCCUCAAAUAUCACAGUUUUUCUUCUGUGGAUAUCACAGAGUAAACAUCACAAUAUAGGCAGAAGCUUGUAUAAUUUCAAUCUAGUAGAGGCCACAAAAUAAAACAUUAUGCUGAUACUGUUGUGAAUUGUAUAAAAAAACAUGGAACUACACCAUUAUUGGAGACCAAAUAAAAAUUCAUAGAUAAUGUCUAGUAAUAUACAACAGCCAGCUUUACAGAGUUAUCAAACAAUCAGAUACCAGAAGAGGCUCCUCGUUGAGUCACUAUUAGAGAUUAAAUGAGCCAACUUUGAAAAAUAAAGGGGCAAUCUUCACAUGCCAAGUCAUUAGGAAAUUAUUCCAUCCAAGAAUUAACAUACUUUACCAUCACUACUGUUUCAAAGAAUCAAAUGCUAAUAUACUGUAAUGACUCCAUUUCACAAGUGAAUCAAUUCAUCAACCAUGAACAAAUAUUGACAUACACACAAAGCAAAAAGAUUUGUAGUUAAACAUCAGGAUUCUAACAGAUUCGGCAUGUUCAUAGAGUUAGCAACUCAAAUAUUCAUUCAUUUUUUCAAAUAGAAAAUAACAAAAGUAAGCGGACGCACCUAAAGGCAGAAAACAACAAUUAGAGGACCAAAUAAAGGUAUGAACUUCAAAGCUGGAGCUCAGCAGCUCCAAAAACGAGCAACCCCAACAGAUUCGACAACUUCAAUAGCUCAAACCAUUUAGAGAAAUCCCAAAAAAUGUACAACAAUUGAAUGAAAACCCGAAACCAACUUUAAAUCUUCCUUUUCAUCGUUUUUUUCUCUUUUCUUUUUUUUUUUUUUUUGAUUUUUCGGAGUUCUUUUUUUUAGAUCUGAAAUUCGGUACUUUUAAAUCCAGAUGUUUCUGUUUGUGAAAGUGAGAAAGGAAUGAAGA